AUUGAACGCUGGCGGCAUGCCUUACACAUGCAAGUCGAACGGCAGCACGGUAGCUUGUACCUGUUGGCGAGUGGCGAACGGGUGAGUAAGACAUCGGAACAUGACCCGUCGUGGUGGAUAGCCCGGCGAAAGCCGGACUAAUACCGAUAACGCACUACGCAUGAAAGUGAGGGCCCUGCGUGUUUCGCGCUUUAGGGAUGGCCGAUGGCGGAUUAGCUAGUUGGUGGGGUAAAGGCCUACCAAGGCGACGAUCAGUAGCUGGUCUGAGAGGAUGAGCAGCCACACUGGAACUGAGACACGGCCCAGACUCCUACGGGAGGCAGCAGUGGGGAAUUUUGGACAAAGGGCGAAAGCCUGAUCCAGCAAUGCCGCGUGUGUGAAGAAGGCCUUCGGGUUGUAAAGCACUUUUGUCGGGAAAGAAAAGCUUGACCCUAAUACGGUCGGGGGCUGACGGUACCGAAAGAAUAAGCACCGGCUAACUACGUG
rnacentral:rRNA from 1 species